UACGUAGGGUGCGAGCGUUCAUCGGAAUUACUGGGCGUAAAGUGUGCGCAGGCGGCAGAGCAAGUCGAGUGUGAAAGCCCCGGGCUUAACUUGGGAAUUGCGCUCAAAACUACUUUGCUGGAGUGUGGCAGAGGAAGGUGGAAUUCCACGUGUAGCGGUGAAAUGCGUAGAGAUGUGGAGGAACACCUGUGGCGAAGGCGGCCGACUGGGCCGACCCUGACGCUGAGGCGCGAAGGCGUGGGGAGCGAACGGG
rnacentral:rRNA from 1 species